rnacentral:rRNA from 1 species
ACCGGAAGCCCCAAAACGUCCAACGUGGCUUGGGACAGUGGUGGCCAGCUGUGAAUGGCGUCUCGGACCACUGAUAGGUGAUCUUCAAGAUUGAACCGAACUUUUUCGUUGAAAAAAACAGCGCUUGCUUGAAAAUAGAAAAAAAAAGGGGGUUUUCGGUUUUAAUUGGUUUUUGUAUUUUCGACACCGGCGAAUGUUUAUCUGUGUUUUUCGGUUAAAACCGGAAAGUAUACAGCCUAGUUAUGACUUAUAUUCGACCAUUUAUCAUAAAGAGUGCAUAGAUUUCAUUUUGCAAAUUUAGCAAAUCCUUAUAGUCCAGUUAUACAAUUAUCCGAAGUGCUCUAGGCCUACUUGAUAGACGAUGCCGGUGUGUCAAUACCUCUCCUCCUAAGCGGUCACGAUCGGUUCCACCACAGUUGGUCACGCUUAUAAGCGAUUGUCAGACAUUUGGUUGCAAGUGUGUAUGGCCUGACCGGGCCCACAGUGGUUGUCACCUGUCGGGUGCAACUAAAAAAAAACUGAAAGGGCGCCAUUUCAUGGACAUUAAUAAGCCUGCCGAAGCAACUAGCCCCGAAAAUGGACGGCGCUCUAGUGUCGAGCCUAUCCCCGGCCGCUGCCGGCAGAUGCACGCAAACAAGGGGGUGCUAAGCUGCAGCGAGUAGGAGGGCCGCUGCAGUGAGCGUUGAAGGUGUCGGGCGUAAGCCCGCCUGGAGCCGCCGCUGGUGCAGAUCUUGGUGGUAGUAGCAAAUACUCAAGUGAGAACCUUGAGGACUGAAGUGGAGAAGGGUUAGACCGUCGUGAGACAGGUUAGCUUUACCCUACUGAUGACUGGUCAUUGCGAUAGUAAUCCUGCUCAGUACGAGAGGAACCGCAGGUUCGGACACUUGGUUCAUGUGCUUGGUCGAGAGACCAGUGGUGCGAAGCUACCAUCCGUGGGAUUACGACUGAACGCCUCUAAUUCAGAAUCCCGUCUGAGCAGUGCAAUGAUAUCGU